GUAGGGCAACUUUUAAUGGAACCCUUGAGUGUUUGUGUGGAUGCACGCACGCACACACACACACACACACACACACACACAACAAUAGAACAGAAAUGGCAACUGGCAGAUGAUAACUACGCGACGGACAAUGAUUGACAGGUGUAUUGUAAUGUUGAAUAGCUGUGGGUCUAACUGACCAUUACGUGCGUGCAGAACAACAGCAUCCUCUAGAAAAUCCCAUUGGCCACAUGGCUAUCUCGUUGAAAUCAAUAACAUCUCAAGCUAUCACAGAUGUUUCCUGAGUGACCCUUCAAAAUGGCAGCCAUUUGUCAAGCAGAGAACCUACUUGCUUUAAAUGUACACCAAACUUUUGGAUAUUUGGCACAUUUCUUCCGAGUCUCGUACAGCACAAUGUUUCCUUUUCUGCUAAGGUUGUCAACCUGGUUCUCAGGAUCUGAAGUAGUGAAGCUAAAGAGUUUCAAGCAGGCUCAAAUGUGCAAAUCUCAGAAUUAACAUAGGUCUUGACACGGAAUAGCAGGGAGUUGUCAUAGAGGAUCAUGAAUAUUCAAGCCUGUGACCUAGUUUGAUACGCUGGAGCAGGACAGUGGGGUGCACGGUAAAAAAAAAAAAAAAUCUGUACUCAAAUGUAAUACAGCAGCGUGGAAAGACGAAUCAAUGUGGGAGGGAUUUAAUCUUAAUUACUUAAUCAACUGUUGAGCUACCUUCUGCUUUUCAAAAGGGGUUCUCUAUCUUCUCACAUCGUAAGGAUUUAACUAUCAUGACUCCAUAAUCAGGACACAAAUGCUGUUUGCCUCCAGCCGGUCCACCAUGAGAGAUAAAUCCCUCAAAAACAAAGUGUGAACACCCUUCCUCUGAAUCAUGAAGCAACAUACUGAAGUACACAAAUGAAAAGUGUUUCAUUCUUCCCAGACCAUAAGUUAAUAAAAAAUCCACUCUGUUGGCACCAGACUGUCUGACACAAACUCAAAUUGAUUCAUAAUUGAGUUUGUAUAGAUUUUUAUCCAGCUUUUGCUGGUUACAUUAGGGCUUGACUAGUCCCAUUUUGCAGUGGAGUGUACAGCAAAAUGCAACCUAUGCUCCAGGCUCACUGUGCGCCGUGCAUUGCAAUAGCUUGCUCAAAUAAUAACAGGCUCUGAAGGACAAUUUUGCUUGCCACUCAUCAAUGUGCAAACAGUGAAGGAUGUAUUUAGGGUCACCUUUUUCCACUGACACAAGCCUUUUCCCUGACUAUUAGGACCUACAGUACAUUUAGCUAUUCCUAAAUGGGACUCAGGAUGAAAUAUGAUUUUCACAUCAAGUACACAAAAGCUUUUUGUGAACACACAUUGCAACCUUGGGAGAGGAAAUAAAACAUUUUCAGCAUACAGUUAAAUGUCAUGUGUGUAGGCCAAACUCAGACACUCCCGUUUUGUAGGGAAGAAUGCUGUAAGUCUUUCUGGCCUUUAUGUAAACCAAUCUUGCCCAGUUGUAAAGAGAUCGAAAUGAUUCAAUGAUCAUCCUUGGGUUCACUCCUUCCCAGUGAAUGAUAAAACAUCACGUUUUAUUUUGAAAAAAUCUUAAGCAGGGAAUGUUUUUCAGCUGUGAAAUAAUACACACCUGGUCCUCUGACGCAUGGGAUCGUCUUCAGCCAAAACCCUUUACAACAAAGACAAAAUACUUUUUUAUGCCCCCUUGGACAAAUUUGACUUCUUUCUCUACAAUUCAAGAGAAUCAGGGCAUGUGAAAGAGAAAGGGGAAACGUGAAAAUAGAGAAUAACAAGUCCCUUAGAAAGAAAGACAUGUACACCAUAUAUGUCUGUACUGUUACAAUGUAAUCUAUGAAAUACCUAUAUAUCAUUUGAACAGUACAAAGUACAAAGUAUUAGAAUCCGUGUAAAAGAAGACUUUAGCGGAAGGCACUAUCAAUCUAACUUUUCUUGCAUUUAAUAUAAAAUACAAUGACAUACAAAUAUACAAUAAAAAAAAAGAAAAAAAAUUGUUGACAUGACCAGUUGCAAAAGAGAAACAGCGAUAAACCACCAAAAGUUAGUUUGUCAGCGAAGGUAUUUUAAGAACCUCAUAGAUGCCUUUGUUGCUGUGUCUCACUUGGUGCGAGUGCUUUGUGAUUAAGAGGGAGGCUGGCCAUUCAUCAGACGCCGCUGUCCAUUCAGUCCUCAGAGGGGCUGUCAUAGAGGUCUCUGUCCAGCCUUCAUCCACGUUCCAUCUUCGGCCAGACAGCAACAUCCCUUUGCGACAAAAAGGACGACUAAGUUUGGGAUUUAUGGUCGAUCUGCAACAGGCCUUAACAUCUCCUGAGGGAGGACAUAAAACACUGAGGAAAACAGAGUGUGAGCAAUAACACACACAUUUGUCUUUAAUGGCUCUAUGUACUGAUAAUGAUGUUUGAUUUUCCAUUACGUUCCGAUGAAAGGUGAGACAAUGCAAGGCUGGCGAUCUGAUGUCCCGAUCCAUUGCUGUAAAUGCCAAAGGACUGUAAACUUUUUAUAUCAGUUCCAACAGGAUUAGACAACCUUAAGAAUAAUGCGCCGAGAUACUCAUUAAUCCCACCUAGCCAACUAUUUAAUGAUGAUAAUGAUAAAAAAGCAUGAGGCAAAUCUGUAUGCAAUGCUGUUGUUUUCUUCUGAGGAAGCACCCAAAGCGGUUCAGAGGAGCUCUUCGGUUGUUAAAGGCCAGACAGCCACCAUCACUUACUCAUACUUGGAAUAAUAUGUCUUUGAAGGAUCAUAUGCAUGUUUGAAUAAGGGUAUAUGUGGUGCACGUGGAGAGUGCUUCAUUAAAAGUGUGAAAUAUUCCCAUUUCAUUUGAUGAAAUCCCCAGUGGCGCAUUUAUUGGUUAUCCCUGGAACAUUAAUAAAGUCCACCAAUAUCAUUCAGCUGGUGGAAUAAUUAGACAGCCUGUCCCUGAGAAGACGGUAUACAGCACAUAAAUUCUAUUAAUAAGCUAUGUAUUGGUUUAAGAUCUAGAGGCCUGAAUCUAAACUUGUCAUGAGAGUCGCAGACAAUUAUAGCACCUUCGUUCUGCAGGGACAAAAAAUGAUUCAUUUUGUCAGCAAUUUAAGUUGAAAUAGGAAAACAUUUCCUUCCUUACUAUUUCAUUUUACUGCUCAAAUAUAUUCAAAUAAUGAAGAAAUUCCUGAAUCCGUCUCUGUUUUAUUGUACCUUUGAAUGAUUAUCUUGUUCUUCUCCAAUUUGCUAUGCAACUUAAACCAUAACUACUGGACCAUAACAAGGCUGAACGUCACACGAUAUUGAAUUGCCACCGAGUGGCUUGUUGCUGUAAUCCUCCUCCUUCUAUUUCUAUUUAUUCAUACUUUGUUUCUGUUCAUUCCUAUUAUCAUAUUGUUUGCGUUCAAAAAAGUUAUAAAAAAAGAACAGUAAAAGUUGUAAUUUAAAUGCGACUUAUAGGUGUUUGAAAAAUAGCGGAAGUAUUUGGUAGGUGCAAAUGACAUUACAUAUUAACAAUUCCACUGACAUAUCUGAGAGCUUUGACAGCUGUUUUCAAAACUUACAUUACAAGAAUGAAGAAUGAGAGGUAUUAAUAAAAAAAAGCUCCUCAGCAGUAACACCGUAGAAGUUUCUAGAAUCAUAUCUUGCCAAUUACAACAUCUAGACUUUAAGGUGAGAGAAAUGUUACUGCCGGUGACGAAGGGCUGCUCUGCUGCUUCACAAAUACCAAAGGCAGGGUCACUUCGAAAACUUCUGCCGGCCAUCUCCGCAGAUGGAUUUGGAGAAGGUGGCGCGGCUCAAAGGUUUCAGGCUAACCCUCCAGCAGUGACUGUGGCUGUAAUUACCUGACACACAGUGGAGUGGAUGCAGGAUGCCACUGCAGCAGAGUGGCAGAGGAACAACAGGACGGCCUAAGUGGAGCCAGGAGAGAUGCCGAGGAAGAGGGAAACCUAUUUCUAUUUCCCAUCCUGACUUUUAUUCAAUUUAUUUAUUUGAUAGAUAUUUGCAUGCUGUUUUCCUCAGUCCUGUGCAUUGUCUUGUUGUGACAACUUUAGAAACUUAGUUGUGGUUUUGGACCAGUAACCCCGCAAUCCUCAGUCAAAGCUGAUUCAGCUCCACCGCGUGCCCUACAGCUGCAUUUCCCCACGCGUGCAAAUAAACACAGUCUAUAAAGCAAUCAAAGUUCUUAAUUUUCUAAAUGACUUAAAUGCACCCUCAAAUAAACUGCUGUAAUUCUAAAUACAAUGGUGAAACAAUAUUGGUUAGUGGCCAAUUGUUGGAAAUAAAUGCAAGUUAAAAUUAGGCUUUGAACUCAAAAAAAUCACAAAUAAUCCAUAAGCCUAUUUGUGAUAUAUAGUUACCAUGUCUCUCUCUCUCUCUCUCUCUCACUCACUCACUAACACACUGUUACGUCCACAAAGUGAGACAAUAACUUUAACAACAACCAAAUUAAACAGAGUCAAAGUGAUUUUCGUGAAUUAACUGUUUAUUAACGGACAACUGAUUCACAAAUGUGGUGGAGGUAGGGACAAUAUAGUUGUGCCAAAUAAUCAAAAUUAAAAAACCCAAACUAGGCCUAACUAAAUCUGACUUCUGAAAACAACAAAACAAAAGGCUGACUGAGUUCUCUACAAACAGCAGUGUACAAAUACAGGGGAUGGCAACAACCACUAAACACAAGUUAAAGAAGUAAAGAGUUCCUAUUUCUUUUACCUGUCUGGAACGAGCCUUUCCCAGCAUGCACUGAACAGCAGAUGGUGCAUUUUAGAAACUGACAUUAUCUGCGUAAAAAGAAAGAAGAUCAAUCACAAAUAUCACAUUAAAUGAACAGAUAUCACAUAAUGUGCAUUAUCCAUGAUGAAUGAACCGUUAUGGUUUGUUUCACAUUUACAAUGUGGGUAGUAGGAAGGAAUUGAAAUUAAUGAACAAUGAUUGAUUCCUCUGCUAUGUACCUUCAUGGCCUGGUCCCGAAGUGAAGGAUGUGUGACUUACUUCAUCUAAUAGAAAGCUCACAGAAGUAUUUCAACUUUUAGCAAAUAGGAUUUUAUCGCAUUUCAUCGCUAAUUGAAUAUCUUUGAUUUUUUUUAAAACAAACAAAAAAUGCAAGCAAACAAAAGAAAUCAGUAUAUUUAUUAAAGUCUAUUAAAAAACUAUGCAAAUAACAACGGUAGAAAUAUCAUGCUAUUAUGAAAUGGCUCAUUUAUCACCCAAACUUGUUAAACCAGAUUAUCCAACUUACUUAUCUUUACAUUUCAGUUUUAUUCAUCACAUAUUUACUGUAUUUUAUAUUAUGGCAUUUUAGAGUAAUAGAGGAUUGGAAAAGUAGAUCCUAGAUUUGAGGCAGAAGCCGUCAGAGUAGAAAAUGUGGGAGUGACAACUCCCAGAAGAAAUGGCACCCUUUCACAGACUCGAAACUCCCUCUUUAUUAUUACAGGUGUGAAAGUGUCCGGCUGACCAUGCCGCCGAUCCCUGUGCUAAAACGCAUGGCGUAAGAGAGAUACGCCUUAUCUCUCGGAGAAAUGUAAAGUGGAGAAACUCUCAGUAACCGUGUGAGUAAUGCGGUCAAAACAUUCCUGAAAACGACUGCAGAGAAGUUAAAAGCGACUGGAUUUUGUUUAUGGCCUCCACCUCGGCCCUCCUCCAGGCAACCAAGGUUGCGCCUGGCUGCCAAAUGGGUUACUAUCAGCAACAGUGAAGUGGCAGAAGACCCACUUAAACACCAGGCAGAGCCAAGAAACUGAUCUCCUGUGAGAGGAAUGUCCGGCUGGAUCUUCCCACGUCACGCAGGGUGCUGAUGCACUGAUAAAGGUUUUUCCACCAAGUGGAUUCUUCCUUUACUGUGACACUCCUGAUUGGCAAAAGGCAGAGUUAGACUUUUUUUUUUGUCUUUCCAAUCUGUAAGUAAAAGGAGCUCAAAGAUAAUCGUGACAAGCUGCUGACCCCUGUGGCUAGGUCACAUUUCUCCAGGACGAGAGGAGCACUUCCUGGCACAAAACAAACUAUCCAAUAAGGACUCAAAACAAUUAUCAGUGCUUCACAUUGUCGGAGAGACACGCUCCCCUGGGACCGAUUUACUUAUCAGUUUCCUCACUAUGAUAAACGUCACAACUGCGGUGACUCCGACUGACGAGCCAGUGACAUGACAGGAAGUGCUCCCGGACGGUUUGUUUGCCAUUUUGCCACUGGAUGAGAUGUUUGUCAGUGGAAGCAAGCCGAUGCUGGGUGAUCAACAGAUCAAUUGUCUCAACGCUUGCUUUUUUUUAUAGCAAUAUCAAGCUCAAGUGAAUCCCAACCAAUCAGAGAAUAAAUGUGAGCUAGCAAACUCCAUUCAGGAUGGAAAAUUUGAUUUAAAAAAUGUGUUCUGGUUUAUAAGCAAUAUAUACAUAUCUGGCAAAGACAAAUGGAUUUCCCUCGCACACAGCAUAGUUAAGAAUAAUGAUGGUCACCAAUUGAUUUAGCAGCAGAGCACCGUCUGACACUACAAACGCAAGCACAGUUUUGCCAAAAUCACGACGUUAACAGAUGAUUUCCUACGGAGUGGUUUGUUUAAAGGCCUGAUGUAUACGAGCUAUGUCAACAGCUAGUUCCCCGUGUCAGCAUUGUUGUGUAUUUAAACCUUUUUACAUCUGUGAUGGAUGGUGCUAAUGAGUGAUGUACACGGCCCUAAUUUGUGUAGUCUUUAUGUCAAAUGUCAAAACAACGGAUGUACACAGACCAAAGCACACGUGGAAAAUUUGACCAACUGCAGGAGAGUAACGUAGCACAUGCUAUUCUUUAUUAUUUAGUAUAUUCGUACUGUAGGCAAAAUAAACACAAACAGUGAGGGCAGUAACAAGCAGCAAGAGACAUGUUCAAGGCUUUUUGGUUGGCUUCACCUUAAUCAUCAUUUGUUAUAUAUAAUUGAUUUGCAGAAAAAUAGGUACAGUAAUGACCUGGCAAGCCCGUCAACACAGUGGUGGUGAAAGCAAUUUUACACUUGCCUCAUGGAGACUGUAAUUAUAAUUUUAAUAAUUGUGUGUCUUAUUUUUUUAUUGUUUGGGCAAACUAUUGACAAAAUGCAUGACAUGUGGGGUUUGGAGACGUUCAGGCAAGCAGAAGAAAAGAAAAUUUAUUGAUUUAUUGGGGCCUAAUUCAAAAUGUCCCUUUUCAUUUAUUGAGCUAAUUUGUGAAAGACGUGUUGUGUGACGGAGGAAGAAUGAAUGGAGAAUAUUUAAAGGUUACUCAGAUUCCUAGGAUUAAAAAUAUUACGUAUAAGAAAUAUCUUUCAUGAGCAGGGUUUAAUCAACUGGAUGGGAUGGAGACAACAUCAAUAUAUUAAAAAUUAUAUUGCUGUCUUUUGGAGAUGCAAACAAAGUUUUUGCUGACUAAGACCCAAACAUACAUCUUAGAUAUUACCCGGCUGUCUACAAGCCACAACUUAAUAGUCAAGUGAGGUUUUAGAAGAUGAGCCAUAGAACUGUUGGGAAUAAAUGCUUAAUUAAUAGAUGAUCAAAACACUUGAAUCAAUUUCAACAAUUGUCUAAGAAAAAAUAGAUUCCAGCUUCUUAAAUGUUAGGACUUAAUGGUUUUAUUACUUAUUAAGUAAAUUAAAUGUAUUUGCAUUGGCCAACAUAUAACAUUUAUCAUCAAGGGCUUUGGCUAACACUGAUAAUAACCAUAUUCUGACAUUUAAAGACCAACUGAACAAAACAUAAUGAAUAGAUUAAGCAUCAAUAAAAGUGGUUGUUAGUUACAGUGCUAAUGGGUGGUUUUAAGUUAGUUGAGCCAAAUAACAUAGAAUCAAAUUAAUUGAUGUAAACAAAGUCAAGAAGUGUCCUUAAAAGUAUUUAAUUGUGCUUUUUAAUAGAUGUGAAAAAAUAGAUAAUUCAGCAAUUAAAACAAGAAAAGGAUUUGAUGAAUUCAUUUUUUUUCUUCCUAAAUGUGGGUGUACUGUAUCAACAAAUGCAUUGCAAGGAUACGUUUUUUUCAAAUUAACGGAUUUAAUUGAACUACCAUUUUUUAUUUCACACUCUACAAUCUCACCCACCACAGUUAGUGACUAGUUAUAGAACAAACCAGAGCAUUUAGCUGCUAAAGAGCCAGCUAUUUGCACAAGUAGUUGGUUAAGACCUGAAGAAAAAUGUAGGAAAAAGUACAAUGACGCAUUCUUACAACAAGACUACUUGACUUCAUUGUUUAUUAAAGCCAGCACCGACGACACUAUUUAUGAAAAAUAGUUAUAUUAUAUUGUAUUUUCUUAACCUCCAGUUCCUGCAAAGCUCUGCAAAUGCACCUUCGCUCUUAUAUAAACAUUUGAGGCACAAGAGAUGGGUCUGAAUCCAAAGGUCAUGCAGUUGAUUUAGGAUAAAGACAUAUGCGGCUCUUCAGAGCUUAUGACUCAUAUUUUCUGGGGUGUCAGCGAAGCGUUAGUCUUGACUGUAAUCCACUGUGCUCAGCCUUCUUUUAGGAGGCAACACCAACAGUGAGUUUUUCCGAGCACAUAACACAAACCUAAGCAACACUGCGUUAGUUAAUCGUGCACUUGAUGAGGGCUAAUUCAUGCUACCAGUACCUGAUUCACAAAUCUCACUUUCACCCACAAUUUGGUGGUCUGUAGCAAUUUCUUGAGUAAACCUUUUCGCACCUUGAAAACACUAAACCAAUACAUUGCUGAGUGGGAACACGGAUGUCAUGGUUGGCCAAUAAAUUAAAAUUUUUUUACUGAUUGAGGGGAUUUAAAAUCCUCAAUGAUAUUUAGAAAGAUGGGACUCUAAGACUGGUCAUUUUUUUAAUGUUGGAGUUUGCCAUUUAACACGGUUACAAUGUUACAAAUCGUUAUGCUCAAAAUCAGCAAUCUACACAUUUUGACCUAAAUCUCUGUUUACAUGAUAAUCUGCAAAUGAAGGCCGCAAAGACCUACUUAUCUAAUUCUGUAGUAAUCCUGCUAUAUUUUUAUGUGUUGGAUUAUAGCAUUUAGCGAAACAAAAAAUAUACAUAAUCUAUGUCUUCUUGUCACAAAAGAUGUAAAUCUUCCUCUGACAAAUAUUAGUGUUAUAUUAGUUGAAAAACGCUAAAUAAAAAAAAUGAAUGAAGACAAAAAGGAACAUUUGGGAUUAUUUCAUCAAAAAAGACAUUUAGGGUUGUGUCAACCUUUUUAAUCGCUGAUUAAGCUGUAUUGUUUGGGUAAAAGCUUUCAUUUUAUUGAAAGGAUAGUAAUACACAACAUACAUUUUGUGUCAUUAUUGUGGACUCAGUGGGGGGAGGCACCGAGACACUGUCCCUUUAUAGCAAACCGGUUCACGGGUUUCAACCCGUUGCCGUGUGUUUCUUCCAGGGGCUCCAGUGGCCUUCGACAGUCUGAAGA
ensembl:lncRNA